rnacentral:rRNA from 1 species
UUUUUAGCAUGCAAGUCGAACGGUAAGGAAAAGCUUGCUUUUCUGGAGAGUGGCGAACGGGUGAGUGACACGUAGGUGAUCUACCCUUGGAUUGGGGAUAGCUCAUGGAAACAUGGGGUAAUACCGAAUAAGUUCUUAUAUUUACGGAUGUAAGAAGAAAAGCGCUAAGGCGCUGUCCGGGGAUGAGCCUGCGGCCCAUUAGUUAGUUGGUGGGGUAAAGGCCUACCAAGGCGACGAUGGGUAGCCGGCCUGAGAGGGUGGCCGGUCACACUGGGACUGAGACACGGCCCAGACUCCUACGGGAGGCAGCAGCUAAGAAUCUUCCGCAAUGGGGGAAACCCUGACGGAGCGACGCCGCGUGAACGAAGAAGGCCGGAAGGUUGUAAAGUUCUUUUCUUGCUGAAGAAUAAAGAUCGGAGGGAAUGCCGGUCAGAUGACGUUAGGCAAGGAAUAAGCCCCGGCUAAUUACGUGCCAGCAGCCGCGGUAACACGUAAGGGGCAAGCGUUGUUCGGAAUU